AAAGUCGUAACAAGGUCUCCGUUGGUGAACCAGCGGAGGGAUCAUUACCGAGUUUACAACUCCCAAACCCCUGUGAACAUACCUAUCGUUGCUUCGGCGGGAUCGCCCCGGCGCCCUCGGGCCCGGACCCAGGCGCCCGCCGGAGGACCCAAACUCUUGUUUUUUUUAGUAUCUUCUGAGUAAACAGGCAAAUAAAUUAAAACUUUCAACAACGGAUCUCUUGGUUCUG
rnacentral:misc_RNA from 1 species